GGAGCUUUAGUUUAGUUAAAAUGUCUGUGUUGCAAACAGGAGAUGUGGUGGUACUGCAAGCUCUGC
rnacentral:tRNA from 1 species